rnacentral:rRNA from 1 species
GUAGUAAUAGGCGAACCCUGACGCAGCCAUGCCGCGUGAAUGAUGAAGGCCUUAGGGUUGUAAAGUUCUUUUGCCCGUGACGAUGAUGACAGUAACGGGAGAAUAAGCUCCGGCUAACUUCGUGCCAGCAAGCCGCGGUAAUACGAAGGGGGCUAGCGUUGUUCGGAAUUACUGGGCGUAAAGCGCGCGCAGGCGGUUCGAUGAAUUCGGGGUGAAAUCCCCGGGCUCAACCCGGGAAUGGCCCUUUAAGACUGUCGCAGCUAGAGGCACGAGAGAGGUGAGUGGAAUUCCCAGUGUAGAGGUGAAAUUCGUAGAUAUUGGGAAGAACACCGGUGGCGAAGGCGGCUCACUGGCUCGUUUCUGACGCUGAGGCGCGAAAGCGUGGGGAGCAAACAGGAUUAGAUACCCUGGUAGUCCACGCCCUAAACGAUGAGUGCCAGGUGUCGGGAAGCUUAGCUUCUCGGCGCCGCACCUAACGCCUUAAGCACUCCGCCUGGGGAGUACGGCCGCAAGGUUAAAACU